UACGGAGGGUGCGAGCGUUAAUCGGAAUUACUGGGCGUAAAGGGUGCGUAGGUGGUUUGAUAAGUUAUCUGUAAAAUCCCAGGGCUUAACCUUGGCAGGUCAGAUAAGACUGUUAGACUCGAGUAUUGGAGAGGGUAGUGGAAUUUCCGGUGUAGCGGUGAAAUGCGUAGAGAUCGGAAGGAACACCAGUGGCGAAGGCGGCUACCUGGCCAAAUACUGACACUGAGGCACGAAAGCGUGGGGAGCAAACAGG
rnacentral:rRNA from 1 species